rnacentral:ncRNA from 1 species
CCCGCUGUUCCGUCAGCGGUAGCCUACGAUAGGAUGCACCAAUAGCGAUAUGGUGUGUUGAGCCUAUCGGACAAGGUACACUUUCCCAAAAGGAUGAGACAGAACCGUGAGGGGACGUCAAGGGCGGUUAGUAUCGUGCCGCCGAGU